rnacentral:rRNA from 1 species
GAUGAACGCUGGCGGCGUGCCUAAUACAUGCCAGUCGAGCGAACGGACGAGAAGCUUGCUUCUCUGAUGUUAGCGGCGGACGGGUGAGUAACACGUGGAUAACCUCCCUAUAAGACUGGGAUAACUUCGGGAAACCGGAGCUAAUACCGGAUAAUAUUUUGAACCUCAUGGUUCAAAAGUGAAAGACGGUCUUGCUGUCACUUAUAGAUGGAUCCGCGCUGCAUUAGCUAGUUGGUAAGGUAACGGCUUACCAAGGCAACGAUGCAUAGCCGACCUGAGAGGGUGAUCGGCCACACUGGAACUGAGACACGGUCCAGACUCCUACGGGAGGCAGCAGUAGGGAAUCUUCCGCAAUGGGCGAAAGCCUGACGGAGCAACGCCGCGUGAGUGAUGAAGGUCUUCGGAUCGUAAAACUCUGUUAUUAGGGAAGAACAUAUGUGUAAGUAACUGUGCACAUCUUGACGGUACCUAAUCAGAAAGCCACGGCUAACUACGUG